AGAUAUGAUUUGGGCAGCGGAGAAGUGGUAAUAAUAGCGAAUCAUACAAAAGUGGACGACGGCCUCUGGCAUAGAGCGCGCGCUACAAGGAACCGUCAAGCGGGCGUACUGGAAGUGGACGGUCUGGGCUCCGUGGGCAAGAUGUCGCCCGGAAAACUCAAACAACUAAAUACUGAAAAUGGACUUUAUAUAGGAGGGUUGCCAUCAAUAGAAUUGAACACGAUGGGAAAAUAUAAAAGUGGUUUAAUAGGAUGUGUGUCGCAAAUAUCAUUGAGUGGAGAUUUUGAUAUACCACUGUCAUUGUCAAAACUUCCCCACACAAUAACAAACAACGUGGGGAGAUGUAAUCCAUAAUAAAUGUUCAUUUAAAUGAACUCGAGUUCAUUUAACAUAUCCAGGUUUAUUUUGUACCAGCGAAGUUCAUUUAUUUUACCUAUGAAAUGUAGAAUUUGUGUGCAAAUGUUAGAUUGUAUUAUUUAUAAGCGCAUUUAAUUUUUAUACGAAAAACAAUUUAAAUUUAAAGAGUUUUAUAACUCUGAAAACAUAUCAAAUUAACAUCGUUGGCAAUAACACUAUAAUAUGUCAUUUGAAUAAUGGUGUUGCCAUAAAAUGAACUAUUUAAAACCAAACUAGUCAAUUUAGAAAAUAAGUAAGUUAACAAUCCUUUUGUCGUUUCCGUAAUCUUUUACGAUUUCCUUCUAUAUCUUUCUUUUGUUGUCUUUUAUUUCCAUGAUAAUGGAUAAAGUUUUCGAAGUGCUUUACUAUCUAGUAAAUAUGAAAAGGACUAAUUGUAAUGUUAUACUAAAACAUAGUCGUACAAGUACGUUUGCACGCGUAAUCAUUUCAAGGCCAGGGUCGGAUUAAUGAAAUACAAAAAUAUCAACUAGUACCAUUUAAUU